CGCUUUCUCUCUGUCUCUCUCGCGCUCUCAUUUUCGUGUUUCUUGUCCUCCGCGCUUAAUCGGUUUGGAAAUCUCUUUGAUGUUUUUCUGCGCUUUGCGAUUCUUUGGUGGAAUGUAUUUGUAAUCUCUCUGGGCGAGGCUGUGUUUGCGAUGUGCAACCUCAGAUGAAUUUGAGGGCGCUGGUGUUUGUUAGGAAGUCGAGUCUCUUGUGCCGGUUAUGAUCGUAUGACAUUGCAUUCCAGGGGAUUAGUGAGUCUCAUGUUGAGCAAUCGGAAAAAGUUUGUUUCCGCUAGUUCACUGAGCUUGGCUCGACUUUAUCCGGACUGCAAGCGUUUCGCUCUGAAUCAUGGUCAGCUUUCAUGGAUGAGUCGGGUUUUGUUAUCCCCCCCAACACCACUUUUAGAGGUGAUUUAGUGGCAAUAU